GAGGAAUAUUGCGCAAUGGGGGCAACCCUGACGCAGCAACGCCGCGUGAGUGAGGAAGGUUUUCGGAUUGUAAAGCUCUGUCGAGCGGAAAGAAAUGCAUUAUGGCUAAUAUCCAUAGUGCUUGACGGUACCGCUAGAGGAAGCACCGGCUAACUCCGUGCCAGCAGCCGCGGUAAUACGGGGGGUGCAAGCGUUGUUCGGAAUCAUUGGGCGUAAAGAGCGUGUAGGCGGCUUGACAAGUCAGAUGUGAAAUCCCUGGGCUUAACCCAGGAAGUGCAUUUGAAACUGUCGUGCUGGAGUAAGGGAGAGGAAAGUGGAAUUCCUGGUGUAGAGGUGAAAUUCGUAGAUAUCAGGAGGAACACCGGUGGCGAAGGCGACUUUCUGGCCCUAUACUGACGCUGAGACGCGAAAGCGUGGGUAGCAAAC
rnacentral:rRNA from 1 species